GACGAACGCUGGCGGCGUGCCUAAUACAUGCAAGUAGAACGCUGAAGGAGGAGCUUGCUUCUCUGGAUGAGUUGCGAACGGGUGAGUAACGCGUAGGUAACCUGCCUGGUAGCGGGGGAUAACUAUUGGAAACGAUAGCUAAUACCGCAUAAUAGCAGUUAUUGCAUGAUAACUGUUUGAAAGGUGCAAUUGCACCACUACUAGAUGGACCUGCGUUGUAUUAGCUAGUUGGUGGGGUAACGGCUCACCAAGGCGACGAUACAUAGCCGACCUGAGAGGGGGAUCGGCCACACUGGGACUGAGACACGGCCCAGACUCCUACGGGAGGCAGCAGUAGGGAAUCUUCGGCAAUGGACGGAAGUCUGACCGAGCAACGCCGCGUGAGUGAAGAAGGUUUUCGGAUCGUAAAGCUCUGUUGUAAGAGAAGAACGAGUGUGAGAGUGGAAAGUUCACACUGUGACGGUAUCUUACCAGAAAGGGACGGCUAACUACGUG
rnacentral:rRNA from 1 species